UGAGUAACCUGCCCUUAACUCUGGGAUAAGCCUGGGAAACUGGGUCUAAUACCGGAUAUGACUCCUCAUCGCGUGUGGGGGGUGGAAAGCUUUUUGUGGUUUUGGAUGGACUCGCGGCCUAUCAGCUUGUUGGUGAGGUAAUGGCUCACCAAGGCGACGACGGGUAGCCGGCCUGAGAGGGUGACCGGCCACACUGGGACUGAGACACGGCCCAGACCUCCGUACGGGAGCAG
rnacentral:rRNA from 1 species